ACCAGGCGUCGUGUCGCACACCUGUAAUCCCAGCAGCUCCGGAGGCUGAAGCAGGAGAAUUGCAAGUUCAAGGCCAGCCUCAGUAAUUUAGUGAGGCCCUAAGCAACUUGGCGAGACCCUGUCUCUA
rnacentral:sRNA from 1 species